rfam:Tupaia chinensis contig173118, whole genome shotgun sequence.
CAAAAGGCCCUUUUUAGGGCCACCCAUGUUUUCACUGUAAAGAGUU